CCCAAAACCGACCCGGCCCACCUCUACUUCCAUUUCAUUACUGGCGCCUGGGGAGCAAAUAACAACGGAAGACUUCAUCAACCCCCUCGCACCCCUCACAGCUUUAUAAUUUGCAGAAAAGAAUAUUACAGAAAAAAAAAAUUGGUAAAGAUAAUGAAUGCUGCAGUGUCUUUUAUAGGAGGAACCAACGGCAACAAGAAAGGCUUGUCGGCAACUCUAGCAGCUAAUCCAGGAGACCUUAAGCUCCGAGCAUCGCUUUCAGACACAAAUUUUUCCGAUGGCUCCACAUUGAACUUUGAUGACUUGUUGCUGUCAGUUGAGAAGCCUGGUUCUUUCAUCAUCGACUUUGACAUCACCAAAAAGGAUGUUCAGUUUCAGUUCAUGAACACUUUUAAGGUGGAAGGAAAACAGAUAAAUUGGAGUUACACUCACAUGAGGAACGACCAUCGGACAGUAUUGGAUGGGACCUUGGUCUUUGAUACAGCCAACAAAUUAUCUGCAAGGCAUGAGCUCGGGUCUUUUAAUUGCAAAUUGAAGUACAGUUAUGUGCACAGAGGGUCGACAACGUUUGAGCCUUGCUAUGAUUUGGAAAAGAAAUCUUGGGACUUAGCAGUGUCAAGGAGAAUUCUCGGUGGUGAUUUAAUUAAAGCUAACUAUGAGACAUUGAGUCAAGUUUUGGGUGUGGAGUGGUCGUGUAGCUCAUUAGUCAAUGAAGAUGGAAGAGUUAAGGUUUUAGCAUCUUUCAAUCUGGCUGAGGGCUUCCACACGCCAAAACUAAGUGUUCAGAGUAUGUGGAACUUUCAGGCAUAGCCUUUCUAUAAUCGAUAAAUCAGGUUAGUUUAUAUGCAGUAUGCUUUAAGCUAAAACUGGGCAGCCCUAGAAGUGUUGUCUGCUGGUCUCCAGCUUCUCAUAUUUGAACUAUGGUGUGAAUAUCGAAUAUGGAUUUGCGCCCAACAUGGAUAUAUUCAGUCUUCUAAAGUUUUUUUUCCUUUUCUUUUUUCUACUAAUGUAUUUAGUGGGUUCUUGGAGGAUCAUAUUGUUACAUCCAUGUUUAGAGAAGAGUUGGAUAGUGGAAAGAGGUGUUGGUAGUAGAAUUUAUAGAAAAAUGAAGAGUCAGAGCAAUAUACCUAACCAAGGUGGUUUUUCAUCCCAUAUGUAACAUGUUCUCAAUCUAAUGCAAUUCUAAAAUUGAUGGAACACCCUGUUUGUUUUUAGAUGAAAUAUUGAAGUACAGAAAAUUCAUGCCUAUUAAAAAAUGCCUAAAGAAAAAGAAUGGAGGAAGCAAAAGAAAAGAAGAAAUAGUAACAAAGCCAAAGCAAAUUCGCGCACUUGAAUGGGGUGAUAGCCUUUGCAAGUUAAAAUGCAUGGGUGGGCAGUCUUAGAUUGGGGAAAGAUUUUGCCAAUCGAUUGUUGAAUUUGGUCUUUUGCUCGGGGAUCGUCAGCAACUUGUCACACUAUCACUAUCCACUGCUUGGUACUGCUAUGUUUUGGAUUAUCUUAUGGCAUGUAUAGAAUAGACUAGUGGCGGAAGAAUAUUUUGGUUAAUGUAUAUAAGCCAUGCGAAAAUGGCAUCUUUUGAAUGUUUA